CUCGCAAAUGCUGGUUAUAAACGUGUAAUCUGAACUCAAGCCACUCUGCAGGGCUCCAAAAGAAUUUACGAUGUGCUAAAUAUUUCCUUUGUUCUUCACAGUGGUAGCCUGCUGUAGCAAUUAGAGAGCAAAUGUCUGCAUGUGUUGCCCAUGACUGUUUUCUGAAGAAAUAUCGAUAAUCUUGGUAACAACAGCUUAACCUUUUCAGAUCUCAGGAAUUUUUACAUAUAUUUCAUUUCUGGGAAGACACUCCACUUCGGUGUUAUAGAAGACGGGUUUCUAAUUGGGUCGUAUGAAGCAUGAGUCUGGGUAAAACUGGUCCGGCAGCUUCCAAGCGCACAUUAAGCUGAGAGUUUUGAGGUCUGGCUGGAAUUCAUUCUUUACUUGGCACACAAUCAGAAGUGACUAAAAACGCCAUUUCCAG